rnacentral:rRNA from 1 species
CAGUCGCCACGGUAAUACGUAGGUGGCAAGCGUUGUCCGGAAUUAUUGGGCGUAAAGCGCGCGCAGGCGGAUAGGUCAGUCUGUCUUAAAAGUUCGGGGCUUAACCCCGUGAUGGGAUGGAAACUGCCAAUCUAGAGUAUCGGAGAGGAAAGUUGAAUUCCUAGUGUAGCGGUGAAAUGCGUAGAUAUUAGGAAGAACACCAGUGGCGAAGGCGACUUUCUGGACGAAACUGACGCUGAGGCGCGAAAGCCAGGGGAGCGAACGGGAUUAGAUACCCGAGUAGUCCCUGUCUCUUAUACAC